rnacentral:rRNA from 1 species
ACUCAAAUGAAUUGACGGGGGCUCACACAAGCGGUGGAGCAUGUGGUUCAAUUCGAAGCAACGCGAAGAACCUUACCCGGGUUAGAAAUCCACGGAUGGGUCUGGUGAAAAUCGGAUACCCUGCCCGCAAGGGUGAAACGUGGAUAGGUGUUGCAUGGCUGUCGUCAGCUCGUGUCGUGAGAUGUCGGGUUAAGUCCCUCAACGAGCGAAACCCUUGUCUCUAGUUGCCAACGGUUCGGCCGGGGACUCUAGAGAGACUGCCGUUGUGAAAACGGAGGAAGGUGGGGAUGACGUCAAGUCAUCAUGGCCUUUAUGUCCGGGGCUACACACGUGCUACAAUGGGCGGUACAAAGGGAUGCAAAGCCGCGAGGUAGAGCAAAACUCAGAAAGCCGCCCCCAGUUCAGAUUGGAGGCUGCAACCCGCCUCCAUGAAGAUGGAAUCGCUAGUAAUCGCGGAUCAGCUACGCCGCGGUGAAUAUGUUCCUGGGCCUUGCACACACCGCCCGU